ensembl:misc_RNA 7SK 7SK RNA
GGAUGUGAAGGUGAUUUGGCUGCGACAUCUGUCACCCCAUUGAUCGCCAGGGUUGAUUCGGCUGAUCUGGCUGGCUAGGCAGUUGUGCCCUUUCUCCCUCACCAUUCCAUGUGAGUCCCUCCUGAAGCUGCGUGCUCAGUUGAAGAGGAUGGUCUUCCCUGAAUAGAGACGGACUAGCCUUCAGUCGAGGGUAUACAAGUAGUUGUGCUCCCCUCAUAGAACCUCCAAACAAGAAUAGGGAAUCUUUCAGUGGAGGGGAGAGGAUAUGGCACUCUGGUGUUGGGAAUUAUAUGGAAUUGUAUCUCUCUUAUAUCACAAUUUUUCCAAUUAU